rnacentral:lncRNA from 1 species
GUUUUUCUAGUCCUGGAGACAGAGGGUGGAGGGGAGGGAGGAAGAGGGACCUGAGUGGAAGAAGGAAGAGUCUAGAGGGAGUCUGUAAAGGUCCAUUCAGGACAGUGGUUUAGUUGUCCUUUGAACAAUUUUUCUGCAGUCUGCUACAAGUUUAAAUGCUUUAAAAAUCAUUUUCUUGUUUUGCUAGAAUGGAAAAGCAGCUGAUUUUCUAGAAUUAAGCCUAUUACGACCUUGAAUCUGCAAAUAUCUGCUAACAGAAAUUAGUAUUCUUACAAACAAGCUGAUGAAAAUCCCUAAUUGCAGUUCAGAGUAUAUGAAGUUAAUUGGAGCUCCUUGAAGCCCUCAUCAAAACACUACCUAAAGUCAUAUACAAAAGAUGUUACACAUCCUUGCAGUGUGCCUGUGUCAAGUCAUUAAAGAGCAAAUAUGGAGUGCUGCCAAAAUCAGAAAGAAUGUAUUUAUGUGGGAAUUAAGAACAACAACUACAAUUUCAAAACAUCAAAAGUACACAAAGGUUUAUCAGAUGAAAAGGAACAUUUGUAUAGGAAAAAUCCCGAUGUAUUGGACCUCAUUUUCCAGCAGAGUCUCUUCUGAACUCACUGAUGGUUUUCUAAGGAUGCAGAAUUCCUUAUUACCAGCAUCAUCAUCAUCAUCAUCAUCACCACCACCAUCACUACAAUCAUCAUGUUUGUUUUUUCUUUUUUAUCCCCUGAACAAGAAUUGCAUACUCCUUGUAUGAUUUCCAGAAACAAAAGUUUAUACAAAAUAAAAUUAGUACUCCUCUCA